rnacentral:lncRNA from 10 species
ACCUAGAAAUUCUCUCUUAGGAGCUGAUCAAAAUCAAACUAAGAAAUUUUUUACACAUGGUUCAGCCAGAGAAGCAGAACAACUGGAAGAUAAUUAGAAUUAUCAGCCUGUGCCACCCCCAUCAUGUGUCUCUAAAGACCCCAGACUCAGUCAGUAGAGGGGAGAUGGCCUGACUUUGGGGAGGAGACAGCCUGACUUCAGGGAAGAAAUGGCCUGACUUCGGGACAAAGACCUCCUGACUUCAGGGGAAGACAACGAGCGGCCCUUCCCAUCCCCUCUCCAACUCCCCUCUCCGCUGAGAGCUGUUUUCAUCACUCAAUAAAAUUCUCUGCCCCCACCGUCCUUCAA